UGGCGGACGGGUGAGUAACGCGUGGGUAGCCUGCCUCAUACAGGGGGAUAACAGUUAGAAAUGACUGCUAAUACCGCAUAAGACCACAGCACCGCAUGGUGCAGGGGUAAAAACUCCGGUGGUAUGAGAUGGACCCGCGUCUGAUUAGGUAGUUGGUGGGGUAACGGCCUACCAAGCCGACGAUCAGUAGCCGACCUGAGAGGGUGACCGGCCACAUUGGGACUGAGACACGGCCCAA
rnacentral:rRNA from 1 species